AAAUGAUUGGAUCCUGAAAGAAGAUAUAGCUGAUUUCCAAUGCCAGUUCCAUUAGUGUUAACUUUGCAGUUUUCUAAACUUCUCUCAGCUCCAUUCCUCACCUGUACAACUGGGAUUAAUAACUAUACAUAUUAAGGGCUCUCUCAAUUACAGAUACCAAAAACUUAACCCAAAUUCACUUCAUCAAAAAUAAAUAAGUCAAAAUAAUAGGAAUUUAUUGACCCUGUACCUGAAAAGCCUAAGAAACUCUGGAUUUUCGCACACCUGGAUUCAGGUGCUCAGUAUUACCAAAGUAAUGUGUCUGGUCUCCUCUGAAAUAGCUUAAUUUUCAAACACAUUUUCCCAGUAUAGUGGCUCCCAGAACUCAAAGAUAAUAUCCUCAUAACCCCAAGGCUAGUGAAAUGAAGACAUCUCAGCCAAAAGUUCCAAUAAAAGUUCUGGUAGUAAACCUGCUUACCAUGAUCAGUUAGUUGUCUACACCUGGAGACAGCAGUGGAAGGAAUCAUAUGAAUAAAGGUACAUGGCUUCAGGAGGGGGUUUAUGGGGGGUUUCUGCAGAAACAACCAAAAUCUAUCCCAGUCUAUAAUUUGUAUUAAGACAAAUAAUAAAAUAAUGGACAUCCAGAAAAUACUUGUCUGUAUUGAGUCCAGUUAGAGCAACAUUACUUGUCCUAGUGAAACCUCCUUGAUAUAUACAAUGUUCUGCCCAAAUAAUAAGGAGCAAUCAUGUAAGUGUACAUGAUAUUAGCUGGUGAGAUAUUAGCUGGAUUGAAAGGGGGCAGAAGAUGUAGCCAGGCAAAGAGGAACAGGGACAUCAUUCUAAAAGGAAGCAAAAACAAAAUGCCUGUAUGUUUCCAUCUAAAAGUAUUAUCACUAAUAUGGCCAUCCUAACCUAUGAAAAAUGGCACAUGAUAGAGUGGGGUUGUAAAUAUUUGUAGGAAAUUUGCACACCUCCAGCAAAAAUAACAUUUACAGAAUAAAAUUGUGUGACACGUCAUUAGCGAGGAGAUACUUUUAAAGAGAUUGUACAACAGAGAUCUUUGAAAAGAACUCUGCCUUAAUCUGGAGUUGAUUUUCAGUAGAGUGGCCCCUGUACAAACAUAAAUUUGCCAAAUUAAGUUCAGAGCUCUUCAUUACAGUCCACAAUUAGCUUGCACCAGUAAAAAAUGACGAUUUAUUGGAUUAAGCAUGUUAAUAAAGGCCUGGCAAAAACAGAAACAAAAAGCAGUUCAGAACAAGCAAAAUGCAUUAAUAUACAUGAUGUGGGCUCUCACUCUGGCCAAGAUGAAAAUGGUUUCCUGGAUUUCAGAUAGAGGCCUUUCCAAAAACAACCUUAUUUUGAGCAUUUCAAAGGUAGACUUCAAAUAAAUUAUGAAAAGCAAGACACAAACAUUUAGCCAAAUGUGAAAAGAGGCUUUUUGAACACAUCAGGAGUGCCAACCAUAAAUAAUUUUUGUAAGCAACGCUAAGCCAGACUUACAUCCUUCCGGUAAUGCACCUACAGCAGCACCAAGAGUCAUUAUUUCUGGCUGGGAUGAAUUCAGAUGAGUUAUCUCAUUCUCAAAAAGAUGUCUACAGAAGGCUCUACUGGCUGCCAAAAGCAGUAUUCACUUAAAAUAGAAACCCAUUUUCAGUUUGACUUAACAGGUCUGUAAUGAUAAUCUCAGGGAAUUUACCAGUCUGGGGAGUUUUAUUUCAUGUAAAUGGAGUUAUUCCAAGGUUUGAAGAAAUUCACUCUGUAUUUCGGGAAAUGAGCGUGAUGUUGUUUUACUAGAAGAAGCAGUAGCUCUUUCUGCCAGGCACUGUGAGCUGCUUUUGAAAAGCUGUUGUUUGUUCACAACAAAGUGAACACAAAACAUUGAAAUAAGUAUAUAUGAUUAAUUAAUAUCUUCAGAAAAGAAGGGUGUAUCAAGGUCAUAUUAACAAAACUUGCAGUUACAAAAUGAAAAAAAAAAUCAAUGAUUCAUCCAGCUGUUCUGGAUUAGUAUAAAGUUGUUCCUAAAUGAGAACACAUGGAGGUAUGGGCACACCCAGGAUUCAUCUGAAUGGUAUGGCAGCUACCAAACAUCUCUUUGCUUUGGGUGUUGUACCCUUGCAUUUUUUUGUCUAAAGAAAUGUAUGUGCAGGUUAAUCAUGACUGUCAACCUAAUGGGAUCAAGAGCAUCCUGGAGAGGUGACUGGUUAUCAGAACACUGACCUCAUAAUGGUUUCACCUACUGUUGGGUUCAUAGCUGAAUGGACUAUUAGGAGUAAGACUCGAGUUGGAGGAAGUGGGCCAUGUGGGGGUGUCCUUGGGAUGAUAUCUGGCCCUUUAGAGUCUUUCCAACUCACUCAGCUUCCCAGCUGCCUUGAGUUCAGCAGGCUUCUUCCACACUCCCCUUCCACCAUGAUGUUUCUACUUGUAGCCAACUGAUCGUGGACUGAAUCCUCUGAAACUGCAAUAAAUGAUGUUCUGUUUCCUGGCAGCUGAGGCAAAAAUGGAAAUAUGCCAUGCAUUAAACAUUAAUUUUCAUAGCGCAAGUAGAAAAGAAGGGAGGCCUAAAGUAGGAGAAGAUGAGGUCAAUUCGCUUCAUACCUGUGUUAAGUUGGGAAAGAUGAGAAAGAUCGGUGCCAUAACUUUGUCUUCCUUGACAUCACUUGCAGCUGGACUGUAUUUCAUUGUGACACUAUUCGUACUUCCUCUAAUUUUGGCAAAUGGGCUGAAGGAAAGACAGUGGUCACAAAGGUAACCGUCUGGACUGCAUGGAUUGGCCUUUAGAAAAGCUUUGUCUAUAGAAUGAGAGUUAAGUGAUGGAGUUAUGAUGUUUAUAAAUAGCCUUGAGAUAUUCUUAACCUUGAAGCACUUCAGUGUGUCAGGCAUUGAUGCUACUACUUGCAGCAAAAUAGAUUCACUUUCAAUUUC